AUCAUAGCUCAAUGAUAGAGAAUCUGCUUUGCAUGCAAAAGGUCCCAAGUUCAAGCCCUGGUAUCUCCA